AGCUCCAAGAGCGUAUAUUAAAGUUGUUGCAGUUAAAAAGCUCGUAGUUGGAUUUCUGGUACAAUGCGCCUGGCCCGCGAGGGUUACCUCUGUGAGUGCCGGUGCGCGUUUGCCAUCCUUCUAGAAAACGUUUCUACCCUUGAUUGGGCCGGACUCGCGAUCUAGAUCUUUUACUUUGAAAAAAUUAGAGUGUUUAAAGCAGGCUUUUGCUAUGAAUACAUUAGCAUGGAAUAAUAAUCUAGGACUUCGGUUCUAUUUUGUUGGUUUCUAGUACUGAAGUAAUGAUUGAUAGGGAUAGUUGGGGGUGCUAGUAUUGGCCGGCCAGAGGUGAAAUUCUUGGAUUCGGUCAAGACUAACUUAUGCGAAAGCAUUCACCAAGGAUGUCUUCU
rnacentral:rRNA from 1 species